UCCAGGCCUAGUGUUUGCUGCUUUGCAUCC
rnacentral:piRNA from 1 species